rnacentral:sRNA from 1 species
GGUUUAUUUGAAUCGCCAUGCCCAUCUGUCUGUCCAUUUGGCUGUAGGCAUAACAUGUUGAACACCAUCUGAAGAUUUGCACCUGCAAUUUUUAUUUUAAGACCAGAAAAGAUUUAAUAAUCUUAUUAGUUUUCAUUUUCCGUAUCCUGUAUAUUGUACACUGAUGUUGAAAAGUAAGGGAGUUAAUCCUAGCAAUGUUUGUUAAUUAAUUUAUAGUAAACGCUCUAAAAUAUAUUUAAAUAAGAACAUUCAGAUUGAGUUUUUUUUUGUCUUUAUUUCUUAAUUUUAAUAAUUAUAUGUUUAAUAAGUAUGCUAUCAACUCAAAAUGCAAAUUAGUUGUUUGUAAUUGAUACAUCCUUAGGACCUAAAUUUUAGUAAAUAUUUUAUUUUGUUUUG